rnacentral:rRNA from 1 species
AUUGAACGCUGGCGGCAGGCCUAACACAUGCAAGUCGAGCGGAUGAAGGGAGCUUGCUCCUGGAUUCAGCGGCGGACGGGUGAGUAAUGCCUAGGGAUCUGCCUGGUAGUGGGGGAUAACGUCCGGAAACGGGCGCUAAUACCGCAUACGUCCUGAGGGAGAAAGUGGGGGAUCUUCGGACCUCACGCUAUCAGAUGAGCCUAGGUCGGAUUAGCUAGUUGGUGGGGUAAAGGCCUACCAAGGCGACGAUCCGUAACUGGUCUGAGAGGAUGAUCAGUCACACCGGAACUGAGACACGGUCCAGACUCCUACGGGAGGCAGCAGUGGGGAAUAUUGGACAAUGGGCGAAAGCCUGAUCCAGCCAUGCCGCGUGUGUGAAGAAGGUCUUCGGAUUGUAAAGCACUUUAAGUUGGGAGGAAGGGCAGUAAGUUAAUACCUUGCUGUUUUGACGUUACCAACAGAAUAAGCACCGGCUAACUUCGUG